GAUGAACGCUGGCGGCGUGCUUAACACAUGCAAGUCGAACGUGAAGACGUAGCAAUAUGUCUGAAAGUGGCGAACGGGUGAGUAACACGUGGGUGACCUACCUCGGAGUGGGGGAUAACCAUGGGAAACUGUGGCUAAUACCGCAUGUGCUAUUAGAUUUGGGUAUCUAAAUAGUAAAGCUUUAGUGCUACGAGAGGGGCCUGCGUCCGAUUAGGUAGUUGGUGAGGUAAUGGCUCACCAAGCCGAUGAUCGGUAGCUGGUCUGAGAGGACGAUCAGCCACACGGGAACUGAGAUACGGUCCCGACUCCUACGGGGGGCAGCAGUGAGGAAUAUUGGGCAAUGGACGCAAGUCUGACCCAGCAACGCCGCGUGGAGGAUGAAGGUUCUUGGAUCGUAAACUCCUUUUGCAGGGGAAAAGCAAGGAUGGUACCCUGAGAAUAAGUCACGGCUAACUACGUGCCAGCAGCCGCGGUAAUACGUAGGUGACAAGCGUUAUCCGGAUUUAUUGGGCGUAAAGCGCACGCAGGCGGCGGCUCAAGUCUGACGUGAAAUCUCUCGGCUUAACCGGGAGCGGUCGUUGGAAGCUGAGUGGCUUGAGGCGAUGAGAGGGGUGUGGAAUUCCCGGUGUAGUGGUGGAAUGCGUAGAUAUCGGGAGGAACAUCAGUGGCGAAAGCGGCACCCUGGCAUUAGCCUGACGCUCAUGUGCGAAAGCGUGGGGAGCGAACGGGAUUAGAUACCCCGGUAGUCCACGCUGUAAACGAUGAAUACUAGGUGUGGGUAGUCUCAAAAUUAUCCGUGCCGAAGCAAACGCGAUAAGUAUUCCGCCUGGGGAGUACGGCCGCAAGGCUA
rnacentral:rRNA from 1 species